UCCGGUUUGUUUCCGGCAGUCUCUCUAGAUUUGCAACUAGAAAUAAGGGUUGCGCUCGUUGAGGGACUUAACCCAACAUCUCACGACACGAGCUGACGACAGCCAUGCAACAUCUGUGUAUCCGUCCGAAGAGGCUUCUCUUUCAAGAAGUUGCGAAUACAUGUCAAACCCAGGUAAGGUUCUUCGCGUUGCAUCGAAUUAAACCACACGCUCCGCUGCUUGUGCGGGGACCCGUCAAUUCCUUUGAGUUUUAGUCUUGCGACCGUACUCCCCAGGCGGGCCACUUAAUGCGUUAGCUUCGGCACGGAAGGGGUCAACACCCCCCACACCUAGUGGCCAUCGUUUACUGCUAGGACUAC
rnacentral:misc_RNA from 1 species